AGUUCGAUUCUGUUCAGAUUGAACGCUGGCGGGAUGCUUUACACAUGCAACAGUCGGCAGCAAUGACUGCCAGUCUGGUACGCGAGUGGCGUAAAUGGGUGAGAAAUACCGAACGCUCAGUAUGUGAUAAUCGAUACAAAGUGUAGCUAACACGCAGCACAGAAGACCCUUCGGGGCGCGGGGACCUUCGGGCCUCGGCACUAUUAGAGCGGCCGACACGGAUUAGCUGAAGGGUGGGGUAACGGCUCACCAAGGCGACGAUCCGUAGCUGGUUUGAGAGGACGACCAGCCACACUGGGACUGACAUAUCGACUCCACGGAGGCAGCAGUGGGAAUUUGGAUUAAUGGGGAACUCCUGAUCCAGCCAUCCCGCGUGCGUGAUGGGGCGGCCUUCUGCUGUAAAGCACUUUUGGCAGGGUGUUAAAUAAUGGGAUGAAUGUGCAAUUGACGGUACCUGCAGAAUAAAGCACCUGCCAUCCACGUGCUGCAGCCGCGGUAAUACGUAGGGUGCAAGCGUUAAUCGGAACCACGGGCGUAAAGCGUGCGGCAGGCGGUUCGGAAAGAAAGAUGUGAAAUCCCAGAGCUUAACUUUGGAACUGCAUUUUUAACUACCGAGCUAGAGUGUGCUUGAGGGAGGUGGAAUUCCGCGUAGCAGUGAAAUGCAGAUAUGCGAGGCGGAACAACGACUUACGAAGGCAUUUCCUGGGUAACACUGACGCCGCUAACGAAAGUGGGAGCAAACAGACGAUACCUUGGUAGUCCACGCCCUAAACGAUGUCACAACUAGCUGUUGGGCCUUCGGCCCAGUAGCGGCAGCUAUCGGCGUGAAGUUAAUCGCCUGGGAGAAGGUCGUGACAAAACCCAAAGAACGACGUAUUCCGCACGCAAGCGGUGGAUGAUGUGGAUUGUUCUUUGAUGCAACGCGAAACUGCUUCCUACCUUUGAUAUGUCUAAACCUGAAGAGAUUUGGGAAAGUGCUCGCAAGAGAACUGGAACACAGGUGUUGCAUAUUGUCGUCAGCUUUGUGUCGUGAGAUAUAAGCAAGCCCGCAACGAGCGCAACCCUUGUCAUUAGUUGCUACGAAAGGGCACUCAUCGAGACUGCCGGUGACAAACCGGAGGAAGGGUGAUGACGUCAAGCUCCCGCGGCUUCGGCAGGGUCACACGCCAGCAUGGCUUACGUCGGGAUGAGGCCGCCAACCCGCGAGGGAGCCAAUCCCAGAAACCCGAUCAGAACCGGAUCGCAGUCUGCAACUCUGACUGCGUGAAGUCAAAUCGCUAGUAACCGCGAUCAGCAGAAGCCGCGGUGAAUACGUUCCCGGUUCAGAGGCGGCACCCGCUUCACGCACCAUGGGAGUGGGCUUUACCAGAAGAGUUAGUCAACCCAAGGAGGGCGAUUACCACGGUAGGAUUCAUGACUGGGUAAAGUCAACAAGGCAG
rnacentral:rRNA from 1 species